rnacentral:rRNA from 1 species
ACCAUGCACCGAAGCUGCGGCAGCGAACGUAUCACUUAAAGCGAUUCAGCGGGUUACGAUUGACGGAGCGAAGCGACGUCAAAGCGUAUACAAAGUCGAGUCGGUUUAAGGAUACGUUCGUUGGGUAGGGGAGCGUUCUGUAAGCCUGCGAAGGUGGCCUGUGAGGGUUGCUGGAGGUAUCAGAAGUGCGAAUGCUGACAUAAGUAACGAUAAAGCGGGUGAAAAGCCCGCUCGCCGGAAGACCAAGGGUUCCUGUCCAACGUUAAUCGGGGCAGGGUGAGUCGACCCCUAAGGCGAGGCCGAAAGGCGUAGUCGAUGGGAAACGGGUUAAUAUUCCCGUACUUGGUGUUACUGCGAAGGGGGGACGGAGAAGGCUAUGUUGGCCGGGCGACGGUUGUCCCGGUUUAAGCGUGUAGGUGUGUGUUCCAGGUAAAUCCGGUUCACUUUAACACUGAGGCGUGAUGACGAGGCACUACGGUGCUGAAGCAACAAAUGCCCUGCUUCCAGGAAAAGCCUCUAAGCAUCAGGUAACAUCAAAUCGUACCCCAAACCGACACAGGUGGUCAGGUAGAGAAUACCAAGGCGCUUGAGAGAACUCGGGUGAAGGAACUAGGCAAAAUGGUGCCGUAACUUCGGGAGAAGGCACGCUGACACGUAGGUGAAGUGAUUUACUCAUGGAGCUGAAGUCAGUCGAAGAUACCAGCUGGCUGCAACUGUUUAUUAAAAACACAGCACUGUGCAAACACGAAAGUGGACGUAUACGGUGUGACGCCUGCCCGGUGCCGGAAGGUUAAUUGAUGGGGUCAGCGCAAGCGAAGCUCCUGAUCGAAGCCCCGGUAAACGGCGGCCGUAACUAUAACGGUCCUAAGGUAGCGAAAUUCCUUGUCGGGUAAGUUCCGACCUGCACGAAUGGCGUAAUGAUGGCCAGGCUGUCUCCACCCGAGACUCAGUGAAAUUGAACUCGCUGUGAAGAUGCAGUGUACCCGCGGCAAGACGGAAAGACCCCGUGAACCUUUACUAUAGCUUGACACUGAACAUUGAGCCUUGAUGUGUAGGAUAGGUGGGAGGCUUUGAAGUGUGGACGCCAGUCUGCAUGGAGCCGACCUUGAAAUACCACCCUUUAAUGUUUGAUGUUCUAACGUGGACCCGUAAUCCGGGUUGCGGACAGUGUCUGGUGGGUAGUUUGACUGGGGCGGUCUCCUCCUAAAGAGUAACGGAGGAGCACGAAGGUUGGCUAAUCCUGGUCGGACAUCAGGAGGUUAGUGCAAUGGCAUAAGCCAGCUUGACUGCGAGCGUGACGGCGCGAGCAGGUGCGAAAGCAGGUCAUAGUGAUCCGGUGGUUCUGAAUGGAAGGGCCAUCGCUCAACGGAUAAAAGGUACUCCGGGGAUAACAGGCUGAUACCGCCCAAGAGUUCAUAUCGACGGCGGUGUUUGGCACCUCGAUGUCGGCUCAUCACAUCCUGGGGCUGAAGUAGGUCCCAAGGGUAUGGCUGUUCGCCAUUUAAAGUGGUACGCGAGCUGGGUUUAGAACGUCGUGAGACAGUUCGGUCCCUAUCUGCCGUGGGCGCUGGAGAACUGAGGGGGGCUGCUCCUAGUACGAGAGGACCGGAGUGGACGCAUCACUGGUGUUCGGGUUGUCAUGCCAAUGGCACUGCCCGGUAGCUAAAUGCGGAAGAGAUAAGUGCUGAAAGCAUCUAAGCACGAAACUUGCCCCGA